rnacentral:rRNA from 1 species
UCUAGGGGUGGCAGCAGUGGGGAAUAUUGGACAAUGGGCGAAAGCCUGAUCCAGCCAUGCCGCGUGUGUGAAGAAGGCCUUCGGGUUGUAAAGCACUUUCAGUGGGGAAGAAAGCCUUGGGGCUAAUACCCUCGAGGAAGGACAUCACCCACAGAAGAAGCACCGGCUAACUCCGUGCCAGCAGCCGCGGUAAUACGGAGGGUGCGAGCGUUAAUCGGAAUUACUGGGCGUAAAGCGCGCGUAGGCGGUCUGAUAAGCCGGUUGUGAAAGCCCCGGGCUCAACCUGGGAACGGCAUCCGGAACUGUCAGGCUAGAGUGCAGGAGAGGAAGGUAGAAUUCCCGGUGUAGCGGUGAAAUGCGUAGAGAUCGGGAGGAAUACCAGUGGCGAAGGCGGCCUUCUGGACUGACACUGACGCUGAGGUGCGAAAGCGUGGGUAGCAAACAGGAUUAGAUACCCUAGUAGUC